rnacentral:lncRNA from 1 species
UGAGGGAGGGGGCCAUAGCAGAAGUGUUCACAUUGCAACCCCUAUCAGGAAAUACCUGCAAAUUUUCCU